AGUCAAGCAAUCUCGGGCUUGGUUAGUACUUGGAUGGGUGACCGCUUGGGAAUACCAAGUGUGAUAAGCG
rnacentral:rRNA from 1 species